CACGUAGGGUGCGAGCGUUGUCCGGAAUUAUUGGGCGUAAAGAGCUCGUAGGUGGCCUGUCGCGUCGGCUGUGAAAACUCGGGGCUCAACUCCGAGCUUGCAGUCGAUACGGGCAGGCUAGAGUUCGGCAGGGGAGACUGGAAUUCCUGGUGUAGCGGUGAAAUGCGCAGAUAUCAGGAGGAACACCGGUGGCGAAGGCGGGUCUCUGGGCCGAUACUGACACUGAGGAGCGAAAGCGUGGGGAGCGAACAGG
rnacentral:rRNA from 1 species